GACGAACGCUGGCGGCGUGCUUAACACAUGCAAGUCGAACGGAAAGGCCCCUUUGGGGGUCCUCGAGUGGCGAGCGGGUGAGUAACACGUGAGUAACCUGCCCUUGACUUCGGGAUAACUUCAGGAAACUGGGGCUAAUACCGGAUAGGAAUCCUUGCUGCAUGGUGGGGGUUGGAAAGCUUCGGCGGUUUUGGAUGGACUCGCGGCUUAUCAGCUUGUUGGUGGGGUAGUGGCUUACCAAGGCUUUGACGGGUAGCCGGCCUGGGAGGGCGACCGGCCACAUUGGGACUGAGAUACGGCCCAGACUCCUACGGGAGGCAGCAGUGGGGAAUAUUGCACAAUGGGCGGAAGCCUGAUGCAGCAACGCCGCGUGCGGGAUGACGGCCUUCGGGUUGUAAACCGCUUUCAGCAGGGGCGAAGCUUGUGGUGACGGUACCUGCAGAAGAAGCACCGGCUAACUACGUG
rnacentral:rRNA from 1 species